GUGAACUGCAAAUGACUAAUGCACUCAUAUUGCGCAAAUUCCUCUUUUCAUAUUCAAAGCACUGCCAUGUGCUCCCAGUUCCCCAACCCCAACCAUUAACCUCAAGGGUUUGCGAACCAAAAAAGGAGAUGGAGUCAGUCCAAGAGGAAACAUUCCCAUCUCCAGAAGCACUAUCUGCUGAUUCACAAAGAAAGAAUUUCAGAAAUCCAGCCACUCUCCUUCCCCCAUCACUUCUCCUUUGAGCUUCUAAAGAAGAAGAAACAGUUUUGAGGACUCCUGCUAGGGGCACAUGGUGUCAGGUUCAGUCCUCUGUUUUCCAGCAGGCAAACCAAAGUUCUUUGAUCAGGAUUGCUGAGACUACCAUUAUGAGUGGGCAAUUGGGGGAGGAGAAGACUGGACAGGAAAACUAUGGUAUCUUUCCUUCAGCAUGUAAUACUCUUCAAAAUCUUUACUGGGGACUUCAAUGAUGCGACAAAAUGCAAGUUUUCAAGUGGCACCGAAAGAGGGAGAAGAGUUAAUAGUACAGAAAAGGGAUCUCAACCAGCUGGAGAAGCAGCAGGUGGAAUAGGAAGAAGAAGGGCUGAGGCUCAGGCCAGCAGCAGUUUUGUCCCAAGAGCCCUCAACAUGAGAACAUUGUGUGGAGGUGCAAGGCUGUGAGGACCACAAGCUUCAUGGUGUAAAAAAGCCAUCUGAAAAGAAAGGAAUGGACAAAACCCCUUGGUCCAUGUUUGCUCCGGGUCUCAUAAUACCAAGAAUACACUCGGAUAUAGAGGUUUAUGCAUGACAAAUACUAUAGAAAGCUGCAUAUCAAGCUGAAUGCUUUGGGGAUUUGUUAUUCUGUGCAACAAAGCCUAAUAUGCUUUCCUGGUCAGCAUGUGACUGCACCUGGAUCAUCUACUGCAUCUCUAAUGCCUGUAACAGAUACUUCCUGUUUUGGGAUUCUUUCCAUUGUUCUCUGCUUUGAACUUGACUUGCCUUCUUUAGACAAGAUGUUUAAAUGAUUGAAGACUUAGACACCCAUUUCUGUAUAGUGACACAUGUUCUUCCUCUAAUGUAUGUUAUGUACAAACGUGGAGGUUUGCAGGAGCCUUAUUGUAUUGUAUGAUUAAAUCUUAUUUUUAAACACAAUCUGCAUCAGUGAAACAAAAUUACUUUUUAAACACAUGAGGCUAAAAGGGUGCAAAGCCUUGGUGGAUUCAGCUAAAUUACUUUACAAUGAUUUCUUCUUGAUUUAAUUUAAUUAAUUAACUACAGAUAAGUGUGAUUACAAGUGCUUUUGAGUAAUUGCUGUCUCUUCCUAAGUGUUUGUACAGAACCUAAAACAAUGAAGCCAGUCCUAUGAAUAGUAAUAAAUUUAAGGAAAAAGGUUCAAUUGUGUAUUUUAACAAAAUGCAUAUGUUAUGUUGUUUACCUUUUGCCUUGACUAUAAAGAGUAUAAAUGCUUAAAUAAAUCAAAAGAGCCUAUACUGUUAUAUAUAACACACUAACUUAAAACCCCAAACUGAAAAACUUAAUAUGUUGCUUUGUUCCCAUAACAAUAAAAAUAAAAGAGCUUAAAACUCUAAGUUGCUGAAUAUUCUCUAUCUCACUUAAUGUUAAUUUAGUAAAUAAAAAUAUGUGUAAUAUUAGAGAAGA